rnacentral:rRNA from 1 species
CGUAGGGCAAGCGUUGUCCGGAAUUAUUGGGCGUAAAGCGCGCGCAGGCGGUCUUUAAGUCUGGUGUCUAAGUGCGGGCUCAACCCCGUGUCGCACUGGAAACUGGGAGACUUGAGUGCAGAAGAGGAGAGCGGAAUUCCACGUGUAGCGGUGAAAUGCGUAGAGAUGUGGAGGAACACCAGUGGCGAAGGCGGCUCUCUGGACUGUAACUGACGCUGAGGCGCGAAAGCGUGGGAGCAAACAGGAUU